rnacentral:rRNA from 1 species
ACGAACGCUGGCGGCGUGCUUAACACAUGCAAGUCGAACGGAAAGGCCCUGCUUUUGUGGGGUGCUCGAGUGGCGAACGGGUGAGUAACACGUGAGUAACCUGCCCUUGACUUUGGGAUAACUUCAGGAAACUGGGGCUAAUACCGGAUAGGAGCUCCUGCUGCAUGGUGGUGGUUGGAAAGUUUCGGCGGUUGGGGAUGGACUCGCGGCUUAUCAGCUUGUUGGUGGGGUAGUGGCUUACCAAGGCUUUGACGGGUAGCCGGCCUGAGAGGGUGACCGGCCACAUUGGGACUGAGAUACGGCCCAGACUCCUACGGGAGGCAGCAGUGGGGAAUAUUGCACAAUGGGCGGAAGCCUGAUGCAGCAACGCCGCGUGCGGGAUGACGGCCUUCGGGUUGUAAACCGCUUUCGCCUGUGACGAAGCGUGAGUGACGGUAAUGGGUAAAGAAGCACCGGCUAACUACGUG